GGCGACACACGCGUUCCCCCAAUGACAAUAAUCGCUCUCGUUCCGUGUACACGGUAGUCCCUCUAAUGAGCGGUAAUCGCAUCUCCGGAAAAACAAUGCUAGGCGGUUUGUAGGUUAGGCGAGCGCGCGCCUGGUUUUAGUGGCUUUCAACGAGGCUGCGGGCUUUUUCCUCCUCGCUUCCCACUGACGAACGACUCCUUCAACGACGAUAUUUCUUGAAAACGCCAUGUUCUAUCGACUCCCUAUAGGAUGAUUCACGAAUGGUGCUAUUCAUAUUUAGGUUAUGGAACGUACAAUAUUGGAUACAAUAUAUAACAGACUCUUGUAGUUGUAUCCGUAAAUGGAUUUAUUUAAAGUUAGCUUAUGAGGCUAAUUUUGUGUCUUUUAACGAGGCUCCAAAUUUUUUUAUGUCCUCUAACGAAGAUUUUUGUUCGAUGUUUUUGGAAACUCAAUAUAUUUCAUCGACUUUCUGUAUCUUGAACCACGAACGCUUUUUACUUGCAUUUAGGUUAUGGUAGACCCUUCAAUAGGGUAACGUGUUCAUUUAUAACCUCCAACGAAGAAUUUUGCACGAUAUUGCAGUCACGGUGUUCGACCACAUCCCUACAAGGUCUAAUACAAAAAUAGACUUCUUUGAAUUUAGGUUAUGUAAGUCCUACAACAUCAUCCUACUCGGCUGCUUUUUAAUUCUGCACGACAUGCCUCAGUACCGCGCUCUAUAUCGAAAACGUGACUAUGUCAGAUGAUAUCGAGACGAUUGCGCGGGAACGUAGACAAAUUUCGCUUCUCUACUACGAAUGCAAUUUGCGUCGACAACUGAUCCCACGUAGUCCCAAUUGUUUCGAGCGGCGUACAUAAUUCAUUCGACAAUGGCCGCAAAAUGGUGUCACUUCGUCGAUGACGGAGUUAUUGUUCAUGUGAGAUAAUAGUAGGGAAAAUAACGACUACGAGAGAGACUAUGUUCAGAAGAUAAUACGAAAAACAAAUUGGAGAGGGGCGGGGAAGAACGUUUUAACCUGUAGUCUGUUGCUGCUAAGUAUCCGGACACUUUGGUCAAUUUAUUAUAAACACAGUGCUUGAAUAUGACAAAUAACUCUAGUCAGGAAUGGACUUUAGGUUAUGGCAGCGGUCUCGUGGCUUUCAACAAAGAUAUAAAUUCUUUUGCGACUUAUAGCGACAAAGGUGAUGAAGAUUUUUGCUCGAUGUUUUUGAAAAUCCAAUUGUUUCUAUCUAAUCGAUUCACCAUACCUUGAUUCGCAGUAGGUGGUCUUACCCGAAUUAAGGUUAGGUUGUACAAAUUGAUGAUCAGCCGAUAAACAGCUGUAAGUGAAGAUAAAGAAUAAAAUCAUUUUUAAUUUCGUAAUUAAAAAUAAACAAGUGCCCGGAUAUUUUUUGCGUGGUAGAACAUGUAUGUGUUUGCUAUUCCCGUAGGAGGAUACACAUUUUGUGCGCGCAUGCGCACACAGGCGACGUUGUAUAUUAGCAUUAUUCUCCGCGCGAUGUAAAAUAUUAAAUUAAAAACAGACAAAUUUUCCGGCUGUUUGCCAGCCGUGCUCGCGA